AAGGGGGUUCGCGGGUCUAAAUCAUUUAUAUAGGAUUUAUCUAUAUUUUUCUAUAAAUGAACUUUAUCUUAUAGUUAAUAGAAAAUUAAAAUAAAAAAGUGGGGUCACCGUUCAUUUGCGCUCACAAUCUGCCUUCGAAAGAAGCAUAUAUUUUUGUAAAGGUGUUUUUUUUCUGUUGAAGUAAUAGGAGAAAUAAAGUUAAUAUCGAAAUAAAAAAAAGAAAUAUAUUACAGAAAUCGCUAAAAUUUUACAAUAAUUUAGUUUAAGUACAGCUUAUAUGGAAAUUAUAUUAAAAAAGAUAGGUCACCGAUGAGUUGAAAAAGAUAUUUCAAUUUUAGAGCCAAAAAUGGCAUUUUUUCACCAAAGGGAGAUAAUUUGGAACUUUUUCAAUGAUGUAUACAUUUUAAAAGUCAUCUGGGGCCAAC
rnacentral:lncRNA from 1 species